ACAUAACUGGGCAUGAGAAUGUUUUCAGAUUUCUCCAGGCUACAUUUAGCUGACACAGAAAGAGAAGAUGAAAACGGUUAACUCUUGACAUCAGGUCUGUCUACUACUAAGUUUUGGCUUUCGAGAUGGCUCAAUCAUUAAAGCAUCUGUCAUACAAGCAAGAGGACCGGAAUCUGGAUGCCCACGACCCACAUAACAAGCCAUGCAAGGCAGUAUGCACCUGCAACCCUAUGAGCAUGGCAUGACCACAUGGACAGAGAACAUAUACCACCUGCAGAGAAACUGAGAAGCCAUCAGAUUUGGAAAUUAAAAGCAUCUGACUAAUGAAUCCAUAGGCAGUUGGACAAGUACAACAUCUGAAGAAAAAGAACAGAUCAUCAAGAGAAAAUGUCCCAAGAGUCAACUGGUUAGGUGGUAUUGCCCACCUCCAGCUUGUCUAUGCUGCCCUCCAAAGAUGAAGUGGCAAAUGUCUUUGUGUGGUCCCAAUUCCAUUAAAACCUAAAGCUGGUUUUGGGGUUGGAGCUUGGCUCGUCUUUUCUAAACACAUUCAUGCUUAUCAGAAGAGCCACCUGGUAUGGGACAGAAGAUAACAAAAAUAAGAGACUAUUUUAUUGCUACUAAUCUCACAAUCUUUUCGUUUUCAUUUGACUCUCCUAAACUUUUCUAAAGGUAUGAACAUCAUCUCAAAAUCUGUAAGAUUAUUAUGUAUACAUAAACAUUCUGUUUGAUACUAGUAGUCAUAAAGAGUACUAAGUAAUUCUAGAUAUAAGCUUCAUCCAGCUUCAUGUAGCUUACUGUGUUUUCAAGUUUGAGUCUGAAAUAGUUAACUAAGAACAAAGUUUGUCUACCUCAGAUGUACCUAAUAGAUCAUGGUCAUCAAUCUUUUUGGAGAUCUGCUGGAUAUGGAAUUUAAAAUGUUUCUACCAUUCCUGACCCUAACCUUUGAAGUCUCUAAGAAGAUGAUGGGGCCGCAACGAUGAAUUGGAUUGUGGUACCAUUACCCACUGGGAAAAACUGUCCCAGGCCUCUCUUGCCAGGACUCUCUUUCCAGGUUCUGCCCCAGGACUGCCACUAAGCUGACAAAACACCACCCAAAGACCAGCUUCGGACCACAAACUGCUCAGAACAUUCAAAUUGCUAAGUUCCUGGGAGAAUGAUUCCAAAAUUUUGUAUAACUUUGAACUCAAAUACAUAACCCGAAAAAAGACUGCCAAAUACAACUAAGCUGGGCA